rnacentral:lncRNA from 1 species
UGGAUUAAUGUAAUUACUAUGGUGAAUUGGCAGAUGCACAUUAAUCUUGUGAGUUUAUAUUCUACUGCUGAUUCAGAUUUAUUCGCUUGUCAUUUGGAUUGCUUGGUUUUCUGUGAUUCGAUCUUGCAACUAUUACCAUCCAUUCUGUCAGGUGCAUGAUUUGAAUAACUCUCCUGCUAGAUUGAAAUUAAAUUUAAGAGUACGAAAUUUGCCGUUUCAACUUUUGAUCGGCAUGGCAAGCUCUCAUGCAUUAGGAAGGGACAACCUAAUAAAAAAAAUCAAUGUAGUGCCUCAUCAGCAGCAUUAAUGAAGUAUGCACAUUAGCUGUAGCUGCACCAUUGGACUUUGACGAGUCAAAUUGUCAUUUGUGAACUACUGUAAUCACUGUUUUCCUUUUCUAAUGAAGCUGAUUGAGAUCCAAAUGCUCGUGAUGAAAAGCACAGCAUGGGAUGGUGCGCCCUGUUUAAGGGCAGCAUGAUGAGCAGAAUCCAAUAGGUGAAAAGAUUCGGCACCAUGGUGUCCCUCGCACGCAGCUUCAGCGAAGCUGCAGCCAGCCCAAAUAGCAAGAGUAAACAAAUGCAGCCAAGUACACAGUAUAGGUACAUGUCUUAUGCAUGUGAAUUUGUUAUUAUCAAUUUACCAUGUUCCAACACCUGUUACUACUAUUAACCAUGACUGGUGAUUGUUGGCUUUAUAAUGAUAUUUAUAUGACCUCACCCUGUCCAGUUAGAAAUAUGUCUGAUUUAGUCAGCCCCAAUAAGCCACAGCCAAACAAUAUAGUUUGGUAUUACCCAGUAUCACAGUAUAAGUCUAUCCUCCUGGCACACGAUACAAGUCCAUCGACAAAACCAAGAGGUUAUUUAACCACUUGAUUUUUCUUCAGGUUUUUGCACGCACAAGAUCAUACCUAACGUACAGGUACAAAAAUAUUUUUAUAAGAGCCAUCUAUCUGUCUGUCAGUACCUGUUUCUGCUAAUUAUUAGUUCUUGCUUAUUUUUUUUCUCUGUACACAAAGCCAGUGCAAAUUAAAAAGAUUGUACUAAUUUUAAACUGGGCAGCAUCCAAGCAGAGUGAAGCUACUCCACGCAAGUGGGAGUUUUUCCUGUCAGCAAACUCAAACACAUUGGAAUUAAUAAUUGCAUCCUAUUGUUCCCUGUUCCCUUCCUUGUUUUUCCCCCCGCUGCCUCCUCUCCUCAUAUCUGCCCAUUCGGUUAUAAAAGUAGACCUGGUCUCGUCCCCUCUUU